GGUUGGCUCAUUUGGUAGAGCAUGAGACUCUUAAUCUCAUGGUUGUGGGUUCGAGUCUCAUGUUAGGCA